rnacentral:rRNA from 1 species
AACGCGAAGAACCUUACCUACCCUUGACAUGCCAGGGAGCCCGAUGAGAGUUGGGUGUGCCCGAAAGGGAGCCUGGACACAGGUGCUGCAUGGCUGUCGUCAGCUCGUGUCGUGAGAUGUUGGGUUAAGUCCCGCAACGAGCGCAACCCUUGUCACUAGUUGCUACGCAAGGGCACUCUAGUGAGACUGCCGGUGACAAACCGGAGGAAGGUGGGGAUGACGUCAAGUCCUCAUGGCCCUUAUGGGUAGGGCUUCACACGUCAUACAAUGGCGCAUACAAAGGGCUGCCAACCCGCGAGGGGGAGCCAAUCCCAGAAAGUGCGUCGUAGUCCGGAUUGCAGUCUGCAACUCGACUGCAUGAAGUCGGAAUCGCUAGUAAUCGCGGAUCAGCAAUGUCGCGGUGAAUACGUUCCCGGGCUUGUA